rnacentral:lncRNA from 1 species
AAACUUGGGUGUUGAUAAGGUGUAAACCAUAAUCCACCAAAAUGGGUGGUUGAUAUUAAGGAUAACAUGAUCCAUCCCAUGACCUUUGUUUGGUGUGCUCUUAAUUUCUCUCUAGACAGUGCAACCUGACAGAUGUUUAAGCAGAUACAGCGAUCCUGAUUCCCAUGCCACUGCACUGCAUUCACAUCAUUUUGCAUCACAUCAUUUUUCAUUCAUAAUCAUUCACACAUGUUUAUCCAUUUCUGUAGGGUUUAUAUCUUCUACUUGACUCUAGUCGGAAUUUU